UACGGGGGGGGCAAGCGUUGUUCGGAAUUACUGGGCGUAAAGGGCUCGUAGGCGGCCAACUAAGUCAGACGUGAAAUCCCCUCGGCUUAACCCGGGGGAACUGCGUCGUGACUACUGGAUGGCUUGAGUUUGGGGAGAGGGAUGCGGGAAUUCCAGGUGUAGCGGUGAAAUGCGUAGAUAUCGGAGGAACACCGGUGGCGAAGGCGGCAUCCUGGACCCAACACUGACGCUGAUGAGCGAAAAGCCGGGGGGAGCAAACGGG
rnacentral:rRNA from 1 species